UACCGGCAGCUCAAGUGGUCGUCGCUUUUAUUGGGCCUAAAAUGUCCGUAGCCGGUCUGGUACAUUCGUGGGUAAAUCAACUCGCUCAACGUACAGGCUGCCGGGAAUACUGCAGAGCUAGGGAGUGGGAGAGGUAGACGGUACUCGGUAGGAAGGGGUAAAAUCCUUUGAUCUAUUGAUGACCACCUGUGGCGAAGGCGGUAUACCAGAACACGUCCGACGGUGAGGGAUGAAAGCUGGGGGAGCAAACCGG
rnacentral:rRNA from 1 species